rnacentral:lncRNA from 1 species
UCACUCAUUGUAGGUGGAGAGAACAUCCUAUGUGAUCUCAUACGAUGAUGACUCUGAGAGUCUCUGCCCAAAAUAGGGAUGAACAGUAGAAAAAAUUUUUAUUGAUUCAUCAAUUGAGUCAUCAUUAUCAAAUCGAGAUAUAUAUGGAUAGAUAUUUGAAUUUAACAUAUUUUCAUACCUAUGGCCUUUUGGGGAUGUUGUG